UGCCAGUUAGCUCAAUUGGUUAGAGAGUGGUGCUGAUAACACCAAAGGUGGCAGGUUUGAUUCCCAUAUGGGCUG